GAGAAGGAGAACAAUUAUAAAAGUGAUUGCAGAGAGAAAGCUAACACAAAGGAAGAUGCCUUUUCAUUUGAUGCGCAAAUAAUCAAGAAUCAGGGUUUAUGUAACUCUCCUUCUCAUAGCUCAUGUCCAUCAACUCCAAAACCUCCUCCCGCCCUUCUGUGAGCCCUUUGCUUUAUUGUGUGCCGUUCUCACUGUUAGCUUUGUUUCUGAAUUGUCAUCAAAGGGAAGGAGAAGAACUAAGUGCAGGUUAUCAUGGUGGAAGACGAGGCCAAAUCAGUGCUUUGCUUGUGAUGUGCACAGGAGGUAUUGGCGUGUCUCAAUCUGAAAACAUGGUUGGAUGCUGAAAUAGCUGUGUAAUUGGAUUGAGCCGCGUCAAUAUCUCUUUUCCACUCAAGCACUUCAGCUCAAGGGUGGUUCUGAAACAUAGAUAGUACAAGGACUUUGUGAGCUAAAUUAUUGGGGCAGCAGCUAAGAUGCAUUUUUACGCAGACAAGUUGGUGGCAAGUCCUUGGUUCUUCCUACCAAGCCAAUAUGCUUUCUGCCAUGUCAAAUCCGUAGAGAACAAUUUGCUGUUUGUUAAGUGUUCAUCAGUCAAUGAGAUGACAAAAAUCUUCCUAGUUCAAGUGAAGGAAUAGUAAGAAUUUAAUUAGCAAAAAGUUAUCCCUUCAACUGUUGCAUAUAGUUGAAGUAUUAGGAGUCGGAUAUGAAGUAUUGCUUUCUAUAAUUUCUCUUGUUCUUCCGAACCCACUAUAAUCUCCCAGAAAUAUGGUUACAGUAGAUCGUCAUCUCUUUUCUUGAGAAAAAGUUAUGACCAAACUACAGCUGAGGAAUCUUAAGGCGUGAUUCCUCAAGGUGUGAGUUUGAAAUAGAAUUUCAUGCUACAGAAAUGAUUUCCACCAAGAUGAUAAAACGAGAAUACGAAUCACUGACCCAACAAUACAAGAUUACUGUUUGACAGCACGUGUUGAAAAAUGGAUACAGAAAAAUUGCAGAGAAUAAGCAUCAGGCACCUGCAAUGACAGUGGGUUGAUCAUCGUCGCAAACUGAAAUAGCCCGUAUGAACUCGAUCUCGCAACCGCCGCAAACAGGGACGGAAACUUUGCUCGCGGACUGGGAAAAGUUCAAGAAGGUCUGCUUCAAGCCAUCGAACACUGUGGUCUGUGCUGAAUCCUUUGCUCGGGACUUGGAAAGAUAAAAAUUUGGGGACUAUUGGUCGCCGAUUCUGCCAGUCCCAUCGGCGCUCUCGUCGGGAAUUACAGAGAGUUCCACAGCUUUUGCUCCUUCCCUCACCACCUUCAUUGCUCCAAUACCUUCUUGCAUGCAGACCUCUAGAUGUACUCCACGAGCUCCGUGAGGGAGAGCGCAGGCGCAGUCUCCCCAUUGACCUCGAGAAUGAUGUCGCCAGGAAGUAGUCCGUCGAGCGCGGCAGCGGAUCGGGCGCGGACGUCGGGGACGAGAAGCUCGUGCAGCGACUCCUGAACAAGUAGCCCAGCGGCGGGCACCUGAACGAAGACGAUCGGUUUCGCGAAGACGUGGUUAGAGGCGAGGCGACGCCAGCGGAGAUUACGAUGAGGCGGUUUUUGAGGAGGUCGCCGUCGUAAAAUCCAUGGCGGACAAAUUAGUGAUGUACGAUAUAUGAUAAUUACUAAUUAAUCACUUGGGCCUUUAAUUUUCUUAGAAUUAGUCGUAAAGCCCAGUUAAUUUUAGAAUUUCUUCAAACCA